rnacentral:rRNA from 1 species
CCUACGGGAGGCAGCAGUGAGGAAUAUUGGACAAUGGGCGCAAGCCUGAUCCAGCCAUGCCGCGUGCAGGAUGACGGUCCUAUGGAUUGUAAACUGCUUUUGCACAGGAAGAAACAACAUUACGUGUAAUGUCUUGACGGUACUGUGAGAAUAAGGAUCGGUUAACUCCGUGCCAGCAGCCGCGGUAAUACGGAGGAUCCAAGCGUUAUCCGGAAUCAUUGGGUUUAAAGGGUCCGUAGGCGGUUUAGUAAGUCAGUGGUGAAAGCCCAUCGCUCAACGGUGGAACGGCCAUUGAUACUGCUAGACUUGAAUUAUUAGGAAGUAACUAGAAUAUGUAGUGUAGCGGUGAAAUGCUUAGAGAUUACAUGGAAUACCAAUUGCGAAGGCAGGUUACUACUAAUUGAUUGACGCUGAUGGACGAAAGCGUGGGUAGCGAACAGGAUUAGAUACCCUGGUAGUCCACGCCGUAAACGAUGGAUACUAGCUGUUGGGAGCGAUCUCAGUGGCUAAGCGAAAGUGAUAAGUAUCCCACCUGGGGAGUACGUUCGCAAGAAUGAAACUCAAAGGAAUUGACGGCAGAGAGNGCGACGGACGACGACGAGGGAGGAGG